rnacentral:lncRNA from 1 species
AACAUCAUUAUUUUCAUCAUUCCUACAAUUCAAUCAAAUUUCAUGGGUUUAACAACAACAUUUUCAGCAUUCCCACAAUUCAAUCAAAUUUUAUGUGUUAAACAACAAAUUUUUUAUCAUGACCAUAAUUCAAUCAAUAUUUCAUGGGGUUUCACAUCACAUUUUCAUCAUCCCCACAAUUCAAUUAAAUUUCAUGGGUUUAACAACAACAUUUUCAUUAUUCACACAAUUCAAUCAAAUUUCAUGGGUUUAACAUCAACAUUUCAUC